CAAAUUUAAACCCUCGCGGGCUGGAGUCUCCCUGCUGUCACUCAGCAAUUCCGAGCCUGAAACGCGGAAGAGAUCCUGCAACUUCUACUGGCUCGAGAAAUAUGACUUUAAAUGACACCUCUUCUUUGCCACCUCAUCCCGCAGUUGAGCAUCUACCGGUCUGGUACGAGCGAUUACCGAAUGAAUUUGUACGUUUUUCUUUUUUUUCUUUUUCUUUCUUUCUUUCUCUCUCUCCCUCCCUCCCUCCCUCUCUUUCUCUCUUUCUCUCUUUCUUUCUUUUUUUCUUGUAGUUGUAGAUGGACAGAAUGCCUCUGUUUUAUUUGUUUAUUUUUAUGUGGUGCUGAGGAUUGAACCACUCCCUCACGCAUGCUAGGCAAGUGCUCUACCACAGAGCUCGUUCUUCUUUUUUAAUUGAGCAAACGUUUCUUUUGCCAGCGCUGUUGCUGGAGAAGGGGGGACAUGAAGGAGCACAGGUACGCGAGGUGGCGGACUUCUCGAAACUCGCAUUCUGUGGUAAAGCUGCAUGCAUCUAGGGGGGACCUACGUGCAGAUGCGACCCGCGACAGGUGAAGAGCCAGGUUAUCCCUACCACUACUGCGGGAGAUCGGCGUCCCUCUUUUCUGAGAGUAAAGAAGUAAAAUGUGCUGAUUUGAAAGAAUCGGAGAAUAAAAGAAGCAAGGAGAAUAAAGAAAAGGAAUGUAUAAAAUUUGAAGAAAUACUUUCAAAGUUCUUUCCUUCAUCUCAUUCUCUCUCCUCCUCAGAAAAGGAGACCGACAAUAGUUG
rnacentral:lncRNA from 1 species